UACGUAGGGGGCAAGCGUUGUCCGGAUUUAUUGGGCGUAAAGAGCUCGUAGGCGGCUUGGUAAGUCAGGUGUGAAAUCUCCACGCUCAACGUGGAGGGGCCACCCGAAACUGCCAUGGCUUGAGUCCGGUAGGGGAGUGUGGAAUUCCCGGUGUAGCGGUGAAAUGCGCAGAUAUCGGGAGGAACACCCGUAGCGAAGGCGGCACUCUGGGCCGGUACUGACGCUGAGGAGCGAAAGCGUGGGGAGCAAACAGG
rnacentral:rRNA from 1 species